AAGCCAUUGAUGCACAAGCCGUGACUGA
rnacentral:sRNA from 1 species